rnacentral:rRNA from 1 species
CCUACGGGCGGCUGCAGUGGGGAAUAUUGCACAAUGGGCGCAAGCCUGAUGCAGCAAUGCCGCGUGUAUGAAGAAGGCCUUCGGGUUGUAAAGUACUUUCAGCGGGGAGGAAGGGAGUAAAGUUAAUACCUUUGCUCAUUGACGUUACCCGCAGAAGAAGCACCGGCUAACUCCGUGCCAGCAGCCGCGGUAAUACGGAGGGUGCAAGCGUUAAUCGGAAUUACUGGGCGUAAAGCGCACGCAGGCGGUUUGUUAAGUCAGAUGUGAAAUCCCCGGGCUCAACCUGGGAACUGCAUCUGAUACUGGCAAGCUUGAGUCUCGUAGAGGGGGGUAGAAUUCCAGGUGUAGCGGUGAAAUGCGUAGAGAUCUGGAGGAAUACCGGUGGCGAAGGCGGCCCCCUGGACGAAGACUGACGCUCAGGUGCGAAAGCGUGGGGAGCAAACAGGAUUAGAUACCCGUGUAGUC